CCCACCACAGAAGGUAAUAGUCCUGUAUGUUAAACGAGAAGACUUUAGAUAUGAUCCAGAGUACCACGGGACACGUGAAACCCUGUGGGAAGCAGGAGGGACCACCCUCCAAGGCUAAAUACUACCUAGUGACCGAUAGCGUAUAGUACCGUGAGGGAAAGGUGAAAAGAACCCCGGGAGGGGAGUGAAAUAGAACCUGAAACCCUGCACUUACAAGCUGUGGAAGCACAUUUCUUGUGUGACCGCGUACUUUUUGUAGAACGGGCCAACGAGUUACGUUAAGUAGCAAGGUUAAGCACUUAAGGUGCGGAGCCGUAGCGAAAGCGAGUUUUAACUGAGCGUUCAGUUACUUGACGUAGACCCGAAACCGGGCGACCUACCCAUGAGCAGGAUGAAGCGAAAGUAAAAUUUCGUGGAGGUCCGAACCCACGAGCGUUGAAAAGCUCGGGGAUGACUUGUGGGUAGCGGUGAAAUUCCAAUCGAGCCCGGAGAUAGCUGGUUCUCCCCGAAAUAGCUUUAGGGCUAGCCUCAAGGUGAGAGAUACGGAGGUAGAGCACUGAAUGUCCUAGGGGGUAUUGCACCUACCGAAGACUAUCAAACUCCGAAUGCCGUCAUCUUAUACUUGGGAGUCAGACUGUGGGUGAUAAGAUUCAUAGUCGAAAGGGCAACAGCCCAGAUCGUCAGCUAAGGUCCCUAAAUGUAAGUUAAGUGGUAAAGGAUGUGGGAUUGCACAGACAACCAGGAUGUUGGCUUAGAAGCAGCCACUCAUUCAAAGAGUGCGUAAUAGCUCACUGGUCGAGUGAUCCUGCGCCGAAGAUUUCCGGGGCUAAAACUUACUACCGAAGCUACGGCAUCAGUAAUGAUGGGUAGGGGAGCUUCCCAUACGGGUUGAAGCAUGACCGUAAGGACAUGUGGACAGUAUGGGAGUGAGAAUGUUGGCAUGAGUAGCGAGAUGUGGGUGAGAAUCCCACAGGCCGUAAACCCAAGGUUUCCAGGGGAAGGUUCGUCCGCCCUGGGUUAGUCGGGACCUAAGCUGAGGCCGAAAGGCGUAGGUGAUGGACAACAGGUUGAUAUUCCUGUAC
rnacentral:rRNA from 1 species